CACUGUUGCUCAAUUGACCGCAUGAGACAGGUGCUGAGUGAGCAACUUCAGCCUUCCAAACAGGCAGAAGAGUAGACAGUGUUACGAACCUUCAUAUACUCACCAUGAUAACUUUCUUUUACCACUUUACAAUAACUCACAUGCUGGAACUUUUGACACUCAAUUCCACAAGCAAACGUCAAGUCUCUUUCAAGAGCACGAAAAAAUAACAGAAGAUUUAUUAACCUGUUCUGGAGAGCCCGCACAGUCCUAGACACCAAAAC